CCUACGGGGGGCAGCAGUGGGGAAUCUUAGACAAUGGGCGCAAGCCUGAUCUAGCCAUGCCGCGUGAGUGAUGAAGGCCUUAGGGUCGUAAAGCUCUUUCGCCAGAGAUGAUAAUGACAGUAUCUGGUAAAGAAACCCCGGCUAACUCCGUGCCAGCAGCCGCGGUAAUACGGAGGGGGUUAGCGUUGUUCGGAAUUACUGGGCGUAAAGCGCACGUAGGCGGAUCAGAAAGUUGGGGGUGAAAUCCCAGGGCUCAACCCUGGAACGGCCUCCAAAACUCCUGGUCUUGAGUUCGAGAGAGGUGAGUGGAAUUCCGAGUGUAGAGGUGAAAUUCGUAGAUAUUCGGAGGAACACCAGUGGCGAAGGCGGCUCACUGGCUCGAUACUGACGCUGAGGUGCGAAAGUGUGGGGAGCAAACAGGAUUAGAUACCCUGGUAGUC
rnacentral:rRNA from 1 species